AAUGAGAGUUUGAUCCUGGCUCAGGACGAACGCUGGCGGCGUGCCUAAUACAUGCAAGUAGAACGCUGAGGUUUGGUGUUUACACUAGACUGAUGAGUUGCGAACGGGUGAGUAACGCGUAGGUAACCUGCCUCAUAGCGGGGGAUAACUAUUGGAAACGAUAGCUAAUACCGCAUAAGAGUAAUUAACACAUGUUAGUUAUUUAAAAGGAGCAAUUGCUUCACUGUGAGAUGGACCUGCGUUGUAUUAGCUAGUUGGUGAGGUAAAGGCUCACCAAGGCGACGAUACAUAGCCGACCUGAGAGGGUGAUCGGCCACACUGGGACUGAGACACGGCCCAGACUCCUACGGGAGGCAGCAGUAGGGAAUCUUCGGCAAUGGACGGAAGUCUGACCGAGCAACGCCGCGUGAGUGAAGAAGGUUUUCGGAUCGUAAAGCUCUGUUGUUAGAGAAGAACGUUGGUAGGAGUGGAAAAUCUACCAAGUGACGGUAACUAACCAGAAAGGGACGGCUAACUACGUGCCAGCAGCCGCGGUAAUACGUAGGUCCCGAGCGUUGUCCGGAUUUAUUGGGCGUAAAGCGA
rnacentral:rRNA from 1 species